GCCUAGUUAGCUCAGUGGUAGAGCAAUCGGCUGUUAACCGAUCGGUCGUAGGUUCGAAUCCUACACUGGGCGCCA
rnacentral:tRNA from 1 species